ensembl:snRNA U6 U6 spliceosomal RNA
GUGCUCGCUUCAGCAGCACAUAUACUAAAAUUGGAACAAUACAGAGAAGAUUAUCGUGGCCCCUGUGAAGGAUGACAUGCAAAUUCGUGAAGUGUUCCAUAUUUUU